rnacentral:snRNA from 1 species
AGCUUUGCGCAGUGGCAGUAUCGUAGCCAAUGAGGUUUAUCUGAGGCGCGAUUAUUGCUAAUUGAAAACAUUUUUACAAAGUAGCCUACAGUCAGAAGUUUCAAGCUCCAAGCCAAACUUUAAAUCAGAAUCU